UACGUAGGGGGCGAGCGUUGUCCGGAUUUAUUGGGCGUAAAGAGCGUGUAGGCGGCCAGGUAGGUCUGCUGUGAAAACUCGAGGCUCAACCUCGAGACGUCGGCGGAAACCAUCUGGCUAGAGUCCGGAAGAGGAGAGUGGAAUUCCUGGUGUAGCGGUGAAAUGCGCAGAUAUCAGGAAGAACACCCGUGGCGAAGGCGGCUCUCUGGGACGGUACUGACGUUGAGACGCGAAAGCGUGGGGAGCGAACAGG
rnacentral:rRNA from 1 species